GUCCACGCUGUAAACGAUGGGUACUAGGUGUCGCGGGUAUUGACCCCUGCGGUGCCGAAGCUAACGCAUUAAGUACCCCGCCUGGGGACUACGGCCGCAAGGCUAAAACUCAAAGGAAUUGACGGGGGCCCGCACAAGCGGUGGAGCAUGUGGUUCAAUUCGACGCAACGCGAAGAACCUUACCCGGGUUAGAAACCGUUAGAACUCUGAUGAAAGUCGGAGGUGCCCGCAAGGGAGCUAACGCCUCGGUGCUGCAUGGCUGUCGU
rnacentral:rRNA from 1 species